rnacentral:rRNA from 1 species
GGCUCAGAAUCAACGCGGGCGGCGCGCUUAACACAUGCAAGUCGAACGAGAAAGCGGGGGCAACCUCGUGAGUAAAGUGGCGUACGGGUGAGUAACACGUGGGUAAUCUACCUCUUGGUGGGGAAUAACGCUGGGAAACCGGCGCUAAUACCGCAUAAGCUCGGGAGAGGAAAGCAGCAAUGCGCCGAGAGAGGAACCCGCGGCCGAUUAGCUAGUUGGUGAGGUAACGGCCCACCAAGGCAAAGAUCGGUAGCCGGCCUGAGAGGGCACACGGCCACACUGGCACUGAAACACGGGCCAGACUCCUACGGGAGGCAGCAGUGGGGAAUCUUGCACAAUGGGGGAAACCCUGAUGCAGCGACGCCGCGUGAGCGAUGAAGCCCUUCGGGGUGUAAAGCUCUUUCGGCAGGGAAGAAAAAUGACGGUACCUGCAGAAGCAGCUGCGGCUAACUACGUGCCAGCAGCCGCGGUAAUACGUAGGCAGCGGGCGUUGUUCGGAGUUACUGGGCGUAAAGGGUGUGUAGGCGGUCCUCUAAGUUUGGUGUGAAAUCUCCCGGCUCAACCGGGAGGGUGCGCCGAAAACUGGGGGACUAGAGUGCGGGAUGGGAGAGUGGAAUUCCUGGUGUAGCGGUGAAAUGCGUAGAUAUCAGGAGGAACACCGGUGGUGUAGACGGCUCUCUGGACCGUAACUGACGCUGAGACACGAAAGCGUGGGUAGCAAACAGGAUUAGAUACCCUGGUAGUCCACGCCCUAAACGAUGCAUAUUUGGUGUAGGUCAUUCAGUUGAUCUGUGCCGGAGCUAACGCGUUAAAUAUGCCGCCUGGGGAGUACAGUCGCAAGGCUGAAACUCAAAG